UACCAAAGUGGUUGGUGACUUUCCAUUUGUUUUCUUCUCACAUGAAACGUGGCCUCUCCCUCACCGAUUGUUUGUUUGGACCAAGGAAUCUGCGUGUGGAGAUAAGGGAUUUCCCAUGACAACUAAAGCAAAUGAGACAGGAGGAAGUUGCCGAAUUAAUCAAGGGAAAGACUACGUGUGUGAUGUGUAGCUUCUUAUGAAUUGCUUGUGAUGCAUGUGAUUCAGUGUGGCUCUUAUGAAUCGCUGGUCGAUGCUUUUAAUGUUGGAUAUUGUGCUCAAAAAGCUCCCUUUGG
rnacentral:lncRNA from 1 species